GAAGCUACGACAAAAAAGUAAUAUUUUGCAUAAUUGAAUAAAAUGAGUGAUUAAACUUGGUACCAUAGAAGUCAAACGUCUUGUAAUUUGAAAUGUAUUGAGUAUUUUUAUAUCUAUCCAUCGCUAUAUGUUAUUGUUUAGAAUAAUUACAAAGCUUCAAAACAUAGGCGAUUCGAUCUCAAGCACAUAAUCUAUACCUAUUAAUAAAGAGACAAAAUUUCAGCCUAAAUUUUCGUCUGGACAUAAUUUCGUCUGGCUAUUUAUAAAUAAAAGUCUCCGAAUACACCACGCCAAGGACUCCUUAACAAAACCCAAUAGAACAAAUUGAAUCCAAUAUAAAUCAAGUUAGCUCUGUCCGCCAAUCUUCUGUCUGAGACCUUCAAAAAGGAGAAUCCCUUAGGCGAAAGAAUAGUUCGCACUGUGUGCACCGCGCAGCUGCGUUCUUUCACAAGGCUACCCUGGCCCUCUUUUUAUGCUUCUCCUUCGGACUGCAGCUGAGCUAGAGCAGCGAAGUGGUACUAAAACUGCGAAUGCCCCG
rnacentral:lncRNA from 1 species